rnacentral:other from 1 species
GGUCCCCUGCGUUGCUCGUGAUGGAAAAGGAAACCCUGGACCAACGUCCUUAGCUUCGGGGACCCGCCGUCACGCCGUGGUGUGCAUGCCUCCGCGUCGAGGAAGCCUGAAGCGGCGUGCAGGGUUCCCACCUUGUGACCAGGUUCAGGUCACCCUUCCACACGGCAAAGGCGGGGGGCCU